CCCCAACGUUGUUCCUCAAGUUUUUUUUUGCCUGGUCUGUAUCAAAAGACAGAAUCUUGAUGACUAAGACAUUUUCUUUGGGCAAUACCUUCAAUCCAAGGCAAUGGGCAAGUAUGAUAUUUGAACACAGAAUGAUACCCACAAGACAUCUGCCCAGGGUUGGUGUGGUCUACCACACCAGGGCUACAGCCAUGUAGAAGACAAUACCUCUGAAGAGUCUUAGCAUGACAUCCCUCAUGAAGAAGAAGAGGAGGAUGUCUUCUUCCAACGUCUUGAGGAAUAUUGUUGGCUGCAGAAUUUCUCAAGGUUGGAAGGAAGACCCAGGAGAUGAACAUAUGCCUGAGAAGAAGAACUAGUGUGGAACUGUCAGCCAGGUUUUUGAUGAGUGCUCAGACUGCUUCCUGAUCCGGCACCACAUUUACUAUAGUGGACAGAUGCUCUAGUCUCUGAUGAGGAGUUGCUAGCUGUUAGGAAAAACCUGGAAUGGGCUCCACUGCAUGAGGUUUGAAGUCUACAGAGCAGCAAAGAGAGUGGGGAGUAGAACUCAUCAUCUUUAGGUCACUCAGCAUCGA
rnacentral:lncRNA from 1 species